UGGGGGAUCGUUCAGUGGUAGGACGACGGGUUCUGGCCCCGUUAACCGAGGUUCGAAUCCUCGUCCCCCAGCCA
rnacentral:tRNA from 1 species